UCUGAAAUGGAAAGAUGCUCUCAACAUGGAAAACGAAGCAGUGUUACUAGGGAAACUGAAUCACAUUGUCUUACCGUGCAUGAAAAAGAAAAUCACUCUUACUGAAAAACAUCUAUUUUUCAAACUAUUGUUAAGAGUAGAGAAGAAAUUAAGCAUAUACAUCUGAAGAACAAUUUUUAGAGAAAUAAGAUUUGGUGAACAAGAGGAGAAAGAAUUAUGCAGAGGCACUUCCAGAGGAUAGAAAAUCUGGAGCACUACUGUUUGUUGUCAAAGAAAAUAUGCUGCCAUGAGAAUAAAUUGAGAUAUAUUUCUUUUUUCGUUGUUUAUAAGUUUCAAAAUUCAACUUUCACAUUGCUUAAUAAAGAAUAGGCCUGCACCAAAAUUUAUGGUCUCAAAGCAGUGGCCACCAUGAAACCUCCUAUUGGUAACUGGUGGGAUUCCACCAAAAAUAAAAAAAUGAAAAAAUGAAAAACUAAGCUCAGCAUCAAUCUUGCCAAACUCUUUAGACUUUGUUAAGAUGGAUGCAAGAGUUUUGGAAAAAAAUUAACUAUUGGUUUUCCAUGAUUACUGCCUUAUGCUUGAGUUUAGAAAAGAAACCCCUGGAAAGAGUCUUUAUUAGUCCAAAAAUCUCAAAGAAGUCUAUUUCUAAUCCUCAAAACAGCUAGGUGGUAUUCACAAGCUACAUGAAAUAUAUCAGGAAGGUUAUGUGAAAUCAUUGCAGGUACAUGAUCCAAAGUUAUAUAUAGCCUCUACAAGGAUUUGGAUAAUCAAAAGAUGAAUUCUGUUAGUAAACGGAUAGACAAGGAAACAACUAAGGUCAAGCAUAUGUGUUCCUUAAAUAGAUACAAGCCUGUGAUAUCUGAAGUAAUAUGCUCAUUCCUGGAAACAAUCUUAUAAAUGGAGGUAAAGCUCAUUAAAAGGUUUCUGUUGCCCAAAUUCAAGAUCCUUCCACCAUCUUAUCUGACAUUCUAGGGAAGAGAGGUCAUGCUUUUACAACAGUAAUUUAAAAAAAACAGUCCCCGUUUUUUCUGUUACCUCAACGGCAGUGGAUAAUUCUUCUUCCUUAAAUUUCUAUCGGCAGUCAAAAGAAAAUAAGAGAAACAGCCUAAUUCUUGUUAUUAAGCGCUUUAUUGUCUUCCUUUCUCAAGAGAAAUGACCCUUCAGACGUUGGAAUCAACUAAAACUUAUUAAGGUAUUUAUUUUCCUUAAAACUCUAAAUAUACUUUCAGGAAGAUUAAGCUCGGAUCAAGUUGCCAAAAAAGGUAUAGGGAUUAGGGACCGGUGACAUCCAAUCAAUCCCCAAGAUCAUCCAAUUCUCCCAGGGCAUUGGAGGCUCAAUGAACAUGAAUUUAGCUAAUAUAAAAGUUUCAUGAAUCUUCCCAAGCUUUCUGUGCAGCUGCAUUUCAGAUCUUCCUUAGCAAUAUAUCUACGAUCCCCUCCCCAAACAUGUGUACUGUAGAUUAAUAUGAACAAUUCGGGUUACAAAAGUACACCUACUACGAAGGCAACAGCAAAGCAAGGCUAGUGACUAUUGCCCCAACUGGAUUCAUCCGCGGAGCUUUAUGGAAAGCAUGAUCCUUGCAGACGCACCACCAAGAGAAUUUGUCUUGUUGAUGUUUGAUUUUUCUUUUAUGCAACAGAGAGAGAGAAUAAAGUAGGGUUAGCAUUUUCAGCAGAACUGCAAGUUACCUCAACAUAGUAUGAUAAUCAUCAUGACGAGCUGGAAGGAGAUCCUUCUCCAACAAGGCCUGGCGAAAUGAAUUCACUGCCUCCUCUUCCUUCUCGUCUCGAAAAUCUUCAGUUGAAAUGGAAGCAAAUCGGCAAUGAGCGACUCGUUUACUACGUCUUUUGAGCGAAUGCGUUAGCUUUGUGGAAGCGUUCAUUGCCUUUUUCUUCAAAGAUCUGAUUCGAGUUCUUCUCUUCUCGUCCUCAGAUGCCUCAAAAUAAUAUCUUUUUGUUCUUUCGUGAUCGUGAACUCCAACAAUUUCUUAAAAAAACAAAAGGAAUCGAUUCAGUUCUAGAACUCGUUAAAAGUAAACUUAGAACUAUGUGCAGCUGAAUCCAAAUUUGCCACAAAAUACCUGGCAUUGUGCUUCUCAAAUCCUAAUUACACCGUGAUAUUGCGCAAAGCAAUCCAGUUCUUCAAUUUUGAAAUUAUAUCGUGAACCUCCACAAAUCAAAAUCAUAAAAUCAGUAAUGAAACGGUAACAUUAACGCGAAAAUUUCAGAUCGUCGACCAACGUCGUACGAGAAAUCGUUCCGUUUGAAAUAAUCAAAAGAGAAACUCCAUUAACGGUUGGGACACAAAUAA